CUGCUACUUCCUCCGUUCGGAAUUACUCGUCCAAGAAAUGAAUGUAUCUAGAUGUAUUUUAGUUGUAGAUACAUUCAUUUUUGUGACAAGUAAUUCCGGACGGAGGGAGUAGCUG
rnacentral:pre_miRNA from 1 species